UGGGGUGCUAUAAUGCAAGUCGAGCGGACAGAUGGGAGCUUGCUCCCUGAUGUUAGCGGCGGACGGGUGAGUAACACGUGGGUAACCUGCCUGUAAGACUGGGAUAACUCCGGGAAACCGGGGCUAAUACCGGAUGGUUGUCUGAACCGCAUGGUUCAGACAUAAAAGGUGGCUUCGGCUACCACUUACAGAUGGACCCGCGGCGCAUUAGCUAGUUGGUGAGGUAACGGCUCACCAAGGCGACGAUGCGUAGCCGACCUGAGAGGGUGAUCGGCCACACUGGGACUGAGACACGGCCCAGACUCCUACGGGAGGCAGCAGUAGGGAAUCUUCCGCAAUGGACGAAAGUCUGACGGAGCAACGCCGCGUGAGUGAUGAAGGUUUUCGGAUCGUAAAGCUCUGUUGUUAGGGAAGAACAAGUGCCGUUCAAAUAGGGCGGCACCUUGACGGUACCUAACCAGAAAGCCACGGCUAACUACGUGCCAGCAGCCGCGGUAAUACGUAGGUGGCAAGCGUUGUCCGGAAUUAUUGGGCGUAAAGGGCUCGCAGGCGGUUUCUUAAGUCUGAUGUGAAAGCCCCCGGCUCAACCGGGGAGGGUCAUUGGAAACUGGGGAACUUGAGUGCAGAAGAGGAGAGUGGAAUUCCACGUGUAGCGGUGAAAUGCGUAGAGAUGUGGAGGAACACCAGUGGCGAAGGCGACUCUCUGGUCUGUAACUGACGCUGAGGAGCGAAAGCGUGGGGAGCGAACAGGAUUAGAUACCCUGGUAGUCCACGCCGUAAACGAUGAGUGCUAAGUGUUAGGGGGUUUCCGCCCCUUAGUGCUGCAGCUAACGCAUUAAGCACUCCGCCUGGGGAGUACGGUCGCAAGACUGAAACUCAAAGGAAUUGACGGGGGCCCGCACAAGCGGUGGAGCAUGUGGUUUAAUUCGAAGCAACGCGAGAACCUUACCAGGUCUUGACAUCCUCUGACAUCCUAGAGAUAGGACGUCCCCUUCGGGGGCAGAGUGACAGGUGGUGCAUGGGUGUCGUCAGCCUCGUGUCGUGAGAAUGUUGGGGUUAGGUC
rnacentral:rRNA from 1 species